rnacentral:ncRNA from 1 species
CACGGUCAAAUGUAGUAACAGGAAGCCACGGCUUUUCAGGUGAAAGACGACCGAUGUAAAAGGAGAGAUACUUCCUUGGGUUUCAAUCCCUAAAACUGCCCUUUGAUGCCCUUACACGGACGCUUCUUGCAUGGUGGGGUAUGUGCCUAACCCAUUUCAUGUGUCAGGGCAAAGCAGAUUAGACGGCACCCAACAAUUCAUCUGUACGAAAGGCGAAUACUUUUUAUUAUGACA